UACGGGGGGGGCAAGCGUUGUUCGGAAUUACUGGGCGUAAAGGGCCAGUAGGCGGCCAACUAAGUCCGACGUGAAAUCCCCAGGCUUAACCUGGGAACUGCGUCGGAUACUGGAUGGCUUGAAUUCGGGAGAGGGAUGCAGAAUUCCAGGUGUAGCGGUGAAAUGCGUAGAUAUCUGGAGGAACACCGGUGGCGAAGGCGGCAUCCUGGACCGACACUGACGCUGAGGAGCGAAAGCCAGGGGAGCAAACGGG
rnacentral:rRNA from 1 species